UAAGUUUAAAUGAAUAUUUUAAAUAAAUAAAAAACCUAAACUACUAAAACCCCAAAUCGUGAUUUCAACCUGAACCCCCAAACCUACUCCCAACGAUACUUCCUGUCCGGCGAUUCCAACCUCUCAGGCGAGGAGCGAGCAACUUCCUUCACCGUUUCUUGUCCAUUCCUGUCCGGCGAGCAACUUCCCAUUGAUACCUCCCAUCCAUUCCUGUCCGGCGAGCAACUUGCGGCUACAUCUCCAGUUCUGUCCGGCAAGAUUAGGCUUCCAUCCGGCGAA
rnacentral:lncRNA from 1 species